rnacentral:rRNA from 1 species
GGACCUGACUGCUAUCGGAUUGAUACUAAGCCAUGCGAGUCUUUGUAGUAAUACAAGGCAGACGGCUCAGUAACGCGUAGUCAAUCUACCCUAUGGACGAGGAUAACCUCGGGAAACUGAGAAUAAUACUCGAUAGAACAUUAUGCCUGGAAUGGUUUAUGUUCCAAAUGAUUUAUCGCCGUAGGAUGGGACUGCGGCCUAUCAGUUUGUUGGUGAGGUAAUGGCCCACCAAGACUAUUACAGGUACGGGCUCUGAGAGGAGUGGCCCGGAGAUGGGUACUGAGACACGGACCCAGGCCCUAUGGGGCGCAGCAGGCGAGAAAACUUUGCAAUGUGCGAAAGCACGACAAGGUUAAUCCGAGUGGUUUCUGCUAAAGAGACCUUUUGUCGGUCCUAGAAACACCGAUGAAUAAGGGGUGGGCGAGUUCUGGUGUAAGCG